AAAUGCUCUGAAGAUAGAUAUAGAUGUAUAGAGGUUGCCAAUAAAAAUUUCAUUGACCCGAAGGAUGUUUUGCCUUAUCGAGUGGGAGACGUAAAGGAAAGGGAAGAAGCAAAACAAUUGAGGGAGAGAGUUGAGGAAAGGAAGCGAAAAGCCAAGGAAGAGGCUCAAGAAACCCGUAAACAAUAUGUUGAGAAGGGGAAAAAACCCAAAUUAGAGGACAAAUACUAUAAUUCGAGGGAC
rnacentral:lncRNA from 1 species